CCCUUAGAUGUUCUGGGCUGCACGCGCGCUACACUGAUGCGUUCAACGAGUUUAUAACCUUGCCCGGUAGGGUUGGGUAAUCUUGUUAACGCGCAUCGUGAUGGGGAUAGAUUAUUGCAAUUAUUAAUCUUCAACGAGGAAUUCCUAGUAAGUGCGAGUCAUCAGCUCGCAUUGAUUACGUCCCUGCCCUUUGUACACACCGCCCGUCGCACCUACCGAUUGAAUGGUUCGGUGAAGAUCUCGGACUUCGAUAUUUGUUCUUCAUUGAACUUAUAUAGUGGGAAGUUAUCUGAACCUCAUCAUUUAGAGGAAGGUGAAGUCGUAACA
rnacentral:rRNA from 1 species